UACAGAGGGUGCGAGCGUUGUCCGGAAUCACUGGGCGUAAAGGGCGCGUAGGUGGUGGCUUAAGCGUGCGGUGAAAGCUCGGGGCUCAACCCCGAGUCGGCCGUGCGAACUGGGCUCACUGGAGCAUAGUAGAGGCAGGUGGAAUUCCGGGUGUAGCGGUGGAAUGCGUAGAGAUCGGGAGGAACACCAGUGGCGAAGGCGGCUACCUGGACCAGCACUGACACUGAGGCACGAAAGCGUGGGGAGCAAACAGGG
rnacentral:rRNA from 1 species